CCUACGGGUGGCAGCAGUGGGGAAUAUUGCACAAUGGGGGAAACCCUGAUGCAGCGACGCCGCGUGAGCGAUGAAGUAUUUCGGUAUGUAAAGCUCUAUCAGCAGGGAAGAAAAUGACGGUACCUGACUAAGAAGCCACGGCAAACUACGUGCCAGCAGCCCCGGGAAUACGUAGGGGGCGAGCGUUAACCGGAUUCACUGGGUGUAAAGGGAGGGUAGACGGCCAUGCAAGCCAGGGGUGAAAGCCCGGGGCCCAACCCCGGGACUGCCCUUGGAACUGCAUGGCUGGAGUGCGGGAGGGGCAGGCGGAAUUCCUGGUGUCGCGGUGCAAUGCGUCGAUAUCAGGAGGAACACCGGCGGCGAAGGCGGCCUGCUGGACCGCGACUGACGUUGAGGCUCGAAAGCGUGGGGAGCGAACAGGAUUAGAUACCCGAGUAGUC
rnacentral:rRNA from 1 species